rnacentral:scRNA from 1 species
GAGUGUUACCGAGAGGAUGCG